AAUAGAUACCCCGGUAGUCCACGCCGUAAACGAUGGAUGCUAGCUAUUGGGGGGAAUCGACCCCCUCCGAAGCGAAGCUAACGCGUUAAGCAUCCCGCCUGAGUAGUACGAGCGCAAGCUUAAAACUCAAAGGAAUUGACGGGGACCCGCACAAGCGGUGGAGCGUGUGGUUUAAUUCGAUGGUAAACGAAGAACCUUACCAAGGUUUGACAUCCCGGUAGCCGUUCUCCGAAAGGAGAAUUUCAUUUAGUUGGACCGGUGACAGGUGAUGCAUGGCCGUCGUCAGCUCGUGUCGUGAGAUGUUGGGUUAAGUCCCGCAACGAGCGCAACCCUUAUGAUUUAGUUGGAUUUUUCUAAACAGACUGCCCUGGUAACAGGGAGGAAGGAGGGGAUGAUGUCAGGUCAGUAUUUCCCUUACACCUUGGGCGACACACGCGCUACAAUGGCCGGUACAAUGGGCAGCUAAGCCGCGAGGCGGAGCAAAUCCCAUCAAAGCCGGUCCCAGUUCGGAUUGCAGGCUGAAACCCGCCUGCAUGAAGCCGGAAUCGCUAGUAACC
rnacentral:rRNA from 1 species